AGAAUAGCUAUAAAAUUUGUAGCAGUCCAAUUUGUGUGAACAUUUUUUUUUGAUUUGCGUCUUAUUAAAAAAAAAACAAGAAAUAAUGAAGGUCCUUGCUACUCUCAUGAUUUUCCUUUCG
rnacentral:ribozyme from 1 species